rnacentral:hammerhead_ribozyme from 1 species
AUUCAGCUGAUGAGUCCUAAAUAGGACGAUACUCGCGUCCUGGUU